UACGUAGGGGGCAAGCGUUGUCCGGAAUCAUUGGGCGUAAAGAGCGCGUAGGCGGCCCAGUAAGUCCGCUCUGAAAGUCAGGGGCUCAACCCCUGGAUGCGGGUGGAUACUGCUGGGCUAGAGUCCGGAAGAGGUGAGUGGAAUUCCUGGUGUAGCGGUGAAAUUCGUAGAUAUUGGGAAGAACACCGGUGGCGAAGGCGGCUCACUGGCCCGUAACUGACGCUCAUGCACGACAGCGUGGGGAUCAAACAGG
rnacentral:rRNA from 1 species